rnacentral:rRNA from 1 species
CGCACACAGGCGCUUGGACCCGGGAAUUUCCUAAUGGGGUAACCCGAUCGGGGGAAUGCCCGAUCACUCCGGCCUGAAUUCAUAGGGCCGGCAGAGCGACACCCGCUGAAGUGAAACAUCUCAGUAAGCGGAGGAGAAGAAAACGAGCGUGAUUCCGUAAGUAGUGGCGAGCGAACACGGAAGAGCCCAAACCGGGGAGCUUGCUCCCCGGGGUUGUAGGGCUGCGAUAUGGGAUCCGGACGGUUAGGUGAAGCGGAUGGAAAGCCGCUCCCCAGAGGGUGAAAGGCCCGUAACCGAAAACCGAAAGGACCCUAGCAGUACCCUGAGUAACGCGAUGCACGUGAAACUUCGCGUGAACCCGUCCCGACCACGGGAUAAGGCUAAAUACUCUCUGGUGACCGAUAGUGAACAAGUACCGCGAGGGAAAGGUGAAAAGAACCGCUGUGAGCGGAGUGAAAGAGAACCUGCAACCGUGUGCCGACAAGGUGUCAGAGCCCCGCAAGGGGUGAUGGCGUGCCUUUUGCUUAAUGAGUCUGCGAGUUAUUGUCUGUGGCGUGCCGAAGGGCUUCUGGUCCGGAGGCGGAGCGAAAGCGAGUCCGAAAUGGGCGAACAUAGUCGCAGGCAGUAGACCCGAAGCGGAGGUGAUCUACCCAUGGCCAGGAUGAAGUCCCAGUAAAAUGGGAUGGAGGUCCGAACUGGUGAGCGUUGAAAAGCUCUCGGAUGAGCUGUGGGUAGGAGCGAAAGACUAAUCAAACCCCGUGAUAGCUGGUUCUCCCCGAAAUAGCUUGAGGGCUAGCCUUGCAUGCUGACCUAUGGAGGUAGAGCACUGGAUGGACGAGGGCCCAUACCCGGGUACCGAAUCCAAUCAAACUCCGAAUGCCAUGGGGCGCAGCGCCGGAGUCAGACGGCGGGGGAUAAGCUUCGUCGUCGAGAGGGAAACAGCCCAGACCGUCAGCUAAGGUGCCUAACGACCGCUGAGUGGAAAGGAUGUGGGAUUUCUUAGACAGUGAGGAUGUUGGCUUAGAGGCAGCCAUCAUUUAAACAAAGCGUAACAGCUGACUCAUCGAGAGAUCCCGCGCCGAAAAUGAUUGGCGAUUAAGCGGUCGACCGAAGCUACGGAUGGAAUUCUGGUUCGCCGGAAUUCCGUGGUAGGGGAGCGUUCUGUACGCAUCGAAGCGGAAAGGAAACUGACCGUGGAGUGUACGGAAGUGAGAAUGCAGACAUGAGUAGCGAUCAUCCCGGUGAAAUUCCGGGACGCCGUAAACCCAAGGUUUCCUGGGGAAGGUUCGUCCUCCCAGGGUUAGUCGGGUCCUAAGUCGAGGCCGCACGGCGUAGACGAUGGGCAGCAGGU